GACGAACGCUGGCGGCGUGCUUAACACAUGCAAGUCGAACGAUGAAGCCGGAGCUUGCUCUGGUGAAUUAGUGGCGAACGGGUGAGUAACACGUGAGAAACGUGCCCUUGACUCUGGGAUAACUGCGGGAAACUGUAGCUAAUACCGGAUACGACCUUUGGAUGCAUCUCCUGGUGGUGGAAAGAAUCUCGGUCAGGGAUGGUCUCGCGGCCUAUCAGCUAGUUGGUGAGGUAACGGCUCACCAAGGCGACGACGGGUAGCCGGCCUGGGAGGGUGGCCGGCCACACUGGGACUGAGAAACGGCCCAGACUCCUACGGGAGGCAGCAGUGGGGAAUAUUGCACAAUGGGCGCAAGCCUGAUGCAGCAACGCCGCGUGAGGGACGACGGCCUUCGGGUUGUAAACCUCUUUUAGCAGGGAAGAAGCGAAAGUGACGGUACCUGCAGAAAAAGCACCGGCUAACUACGUGCCAGCCGCCGCCGUAA
rnacentral:rRNA from 1 species